UUCGGAGGCGGAGGAUAUAUGGACAAGAUAUUGCAGAGGAAGAUCAACUAGCGGCAAACCUUGAUUUCAUGAAGAUUAGGUUUGCAGGUUUCUGAGCUGGAGAGGAACCAUCCGAUCCCAGUAGAUUUUAUGAUUGCUGAAGAGACUACCGUUUUGGUCAUAACUGGCCCGAAUACAGGGGGAAAACAAUCAGCUUGAAGACGGUUGGGCUGGCAGCGUUAAUGGCUAAGAUAGCUCUAAUCGUGUGAAGUGGGAUGAGGACAAUCUGUAUGAGUUUGAAUCAAGCAAGCCAGUGAGACAGAAGAUACCUGAGCCCAAGACAUAGUAUCACCCUAUUAUGAUAGAUGAUGAUGGUCGCCCGUUCGCUGGGAUUGCCGCAGUUGCUUCGGUUCGACUGCUCUUCGGUUGCUGCUGUGGUUGUGAACACCCCGGCUACUCCCAUGUUCCUACUCACGGGUCCUGAUGUCCAUGCGCCCAACUUUUUAGAAGACAGUGAAUUGAUAGUAAAGGGUCUUCCCCAGCUAUCAAUUCCCUUUGCCACAAUCACAAUUAGCAGCAAACAUGUGCUAAAAAAGGCAGCAAAGAAACUUGGUGUAUCAAUCUAUGGAUAUACUUUUACAUCCUUAGGUGAUGAAGACAUAACUGCAUCAGUUACCAUGGAUGUGCCACCGCACAGAGAAAAUCCACUCUUGAAAAUACGGGAGUUUUAUGGAAAAUGGACAACAUUCAAGAAUGAGGCUAAGGAGUCCGCGUGUCUUACUGCGUUAACCUAUCUGAAAGAUGCAGGCCUCAUAGCAUGACACCAACUUUGCUGACAUGGUAAAGUACAAGCGCAAGUUCGAGGAGGAACAUUUCUGGUCUUCUGCAUUCUAUGAGCGUGCAAAUUCACUAAAAGAACGAUCAGGGCUACACUAUCGGUCCCGUAAGGCACUUUUUCUAGGGAAGUAAUACCAGCUCUGUGAACUAUAAGGCAAGUACUUCAUGAUGUGGCCUAUAAUCCUCGAUGGUUCCUGUUAGGCUGUUACGAGCUUAUCUCGUGGGUACCAGGUGGAAAGCUUAUCACUAUCUAGGUGUUUUGUACUAUCCCGACGUCCGCUGGUAGUCAGCGUGCUUCCUUUGCUGCUUCGCCAAGCUAACGGAUAGGGUUCAUCGCCUUGGCGCACACUGCUGCUCCCUCCGCGCACUGUGCUACAGAGCCAAGCUAAAAUGAUGCCUUCGGUUCCUACCUCCAUGGUUUACUAGUCGUAUCUUCUGUCUAUACCCUCUUUCGUAUAGGCGUGGCUGCUCUACAGACUCACUUUUGUAAGAAAUUCUCCGCACCUGUAGAACAAUAUUAGCACUAGCUUAACCAGCACCUAUUUCUACCUAUCUAUGUUACCGUGUGGUUCUA